rnacentral:rRNA from 1 species
CUUGUUGGUGGGGUGAUGGCCUACCAAGGCGACGACGGGUAGCCGGCCUGAGAGGGUGACCGGCCACACUGGGACUGAGAUACGGCCCAGACUCCUACGGGAGGCAGCAGUGGGGAAUAUUGCACAAUGGGCGCAAGCCUGAUGCAGCGACGCCGCGUGAGGGAUGACGGCCUUCGGGUUGUAAACCUCUUUCGCCAGGGACGAAGCGCAAGUGACGGUACCUGGAGAAGAAGGACCGGCCAACUACGUGCCAGCAGCCGCGGUAAUACGUAGGGUCCGAGCGUUGUCCGGAAUUACUGGGCGUAAAGAGCUCGUAGGUGGUUUGUCGCGUUGUUCGUGAAAACUCACAGCUCAACUGUGGGCGUGCGGGCGAUACGGGCAGACUGGAGUACUGCAGGGGAGACUGGAAUUCCUGGUGUAGCGGUGGAAUGCGCAGAUAUCAGGAGGAACACCGGUGGCGAAGGCGGGUCUCUGGGCAGUAACUGACGCUGAGGAGCGAAAGCGUGGGGAGCGAACAGGAUUAGAUACCCUGGUAGUCCACGCCGUAAACGGUGGGUACUAGGUGUGGGUUUCCUUCCUUGGGAUCCGUGCCGUAGCUAACGCAUUAAGUACCCCGCCUGGGGAGUACGG